CUUAUACUCCCUCCGUCUCAAAAUACUUGUAUUAGAUUUGUCCAAAUACAGAUGUAUGAAGUUACGUUUUAGUAUUAGGUACAUAUGUAUCUAGACAAAUGUAAGACAAAUUUUUUGGGACAGAGAGUGUAUUUA
rnacentral:pre_miRNA from 1 species